UGUUGCUGCCGGUAAUGCCUAAUGUGGUUGCUUUGCUGCGUUAUUGAGUUACUUUGGAUUUCGAUUAUUCUCGAGAAAUAGAAUCACAUAUUCCCAUAUGAGUGUAGACUGAAACUGUACAGUACCUGAUGUUGUUUCUUGCUAAAGUUGUUAUAAAGCAAGCAUGGUAUGCUACGUGAAAACCACAAGAAAAUUGUCUACCUUAAUAACCAUAUGCUGAAUGUUCCUUUUAAUCACAUCUUCCGCUGCAUAAUUGCAUCUUUGUAGCCUGACAGUUGUGGAAUCAUAUGCACAGUGCAGGUUCAUUCAUGCUGUGAAUGAUGAAUGCUUCUGUAUCAUGCAUAUUAGGGUGUACCUCCUACAGCAGAUGGAGGAUGUUUGGGAGAUAUUGACGACCCUACCUGACACUACAAAGCCAGAGCGUCAUGGUUGUUCUUCACUGCUGACCUGCAUAAACACCCAUCAAAAGUUCAUUCAUGCCGUUAAUGAUAGAUGCUUCUGUAUCAUGCAUAUUUCAGUGUGUGGAAGUAGUUGUGAAAUAUUAAGUACCAUACCCUGCACUUUCGCCUUACAUCAGGAAGAUUUUAUUAAGCAGCAACCUUCCUACAGCAGAUCGAGAUUGCAGAGAAGAAAUUGACGAUUCCAGCAAGAUUGUCUGAUUCAUCUUUGUACCGAUGUUUGGCGAGAAAAUUGACGACCCAACAAGAGCGAUACUGAGAGAGCGUCGUGGUUGUUCUUCAGAAGUGACCUGCAUCAACGCCUGUAAAAAAUUCUGGAAUCAGACUGAACGAGAUUUUGCUUCCGGAAGAAAAACUGCGAUAUCAGGGACCUACAGACUACAACACGUUCAACGCGGGUCAUCUAUUUCUGUUGUUGGUAAUAUGUUUUUGUUAGUUAAUCCGUUGGCUGCCACGCCUUUGUUCUCCCCUAGCUCCUUAGCACGGGCCGCGCUGUUCGGUCUCGUGGUUUACAUGCCGCGGG
rnacentral:lncRNA from 1 species